AGUUUACAAUAAUAAAAACUAGGAACAAGAUACUUAGAGAAAGAGAGAGUUCGAGGUCAUAUAUAGUGUGUACUCUAGGGUUUCCGAAUGUCCCCUUCUGCUCUUUUCUUCUCUCUCUUUAUAGUCACUCUCACCCCCAUUGUUUGUUAGCGAGAUCUUUUCAUGUUAUUAACAACUCCGAGAUUUUUGAUCCUAUUUUUUUGGAGAAUAUUCUUCUAAAAUCGACAUCGCUCUCUUUUUCCUUGCACAGGCUAUCAACGUCGCGUUCUUCCUGCCACCUCAUGAUCAUUCGCCGAUUAUCAUGGGUGAACUCCAUGUUGGUGACAAUGGACCGGGUCUCGUCUAAGCGCUUUGUAUUGUCGGGAUUUGGGCCCAACAGCUACUAUACAAUACCUUCAACACAAGACCUUUUAUGACCUUUUCUCCACCAGCAAACAAACAUCAUACCUUUUUUGUAACAAACAUUAUACUUAUUGUUAAAAAAAAAUAAACAGAGAUUAUUGUGUGAUUAGGAUGAGAGAAACAACAAUGACAAUAUAUCUAAAAUAUUUUCUACCUAAGCAAAAUCUUAAUGGAGCUUCUUCAAAGUUUGAUCAAACACUUUCCCAGUGUCUUUUAAAUUCCCAGUAUAGAGUAUGCUGACCUGAAAAACAGCCAAACCGGACUUGAAACAUCAUCCAUAUUGCAUAUGACUUGGAUGUAAAAAAAAAUACUAACCCUUUUUCUAAAAAAUACAAAUUGAGUUUUUCUUCUGGGGGAUCACGGUCAAAUGAUCACUCGGAGUAAUCUAAAACAUUACGCGACCAAAAUUGCUUGUGUGGAAGAAAUAAAGAGCAUCACAAGAAUUUGACUUGAAUAAAAGUAUAAGCGACGAAUAACAUGUUAACGUGACGAAAUAAAAUAUCAGUGUUUUUAAUCGAAGAUGUUUUGUAGAGUUUCAAACCUAAAAAGAAACGUUUCAAAAGGGAUGAUUGACACGAGUUGUUUUUAUAGAGCGGGCUUGGUAGUGUCAUGAUGACUGAUGAUGAACGGAGAACCGCUUGUCCUGCGUCACAAGUCUUAUUUGAAACUUAAUCUUAGCCGAUUGAGAUCUGGCUUGGUCGUGAAACAUCUUAUUUGCUAAAUAUGCGAAUAUAAACCAUUUCUUUUAGCAAACGGGUUUCACUUCAGUUUUGAUGCACAAUAGUUGAAGUAUCCACAUGUCCUAUUGGUAAACAAAAGACGGUUUAAUUUGAAACUCUUAUCAUCUCAACUAUACUAGCAUAGCAAUAUACCCGAAUAAUCAAGGUUGAAAUGGACCGGAGCAGGCUUUAAAAGGAUAAAACACUAAAGAUAGAGUUUACACAUGCACAUAAGGCACACAAGUUAAACGUGACUUUUAUUACAAAUUUACAACGAAAGACCUUGUGAAAUAAAGAGUUAAAGACACACAAUUAUGGACAACGAUAUCCUCAAAACACAACGAUUAUAAUUGUGGUUGAAUAAGAUGGACUAUAUUAAUAGAGAGUAAUUGGAUACAAUAGUUAUUGGAUACAAUAGUUACAACAGUUUACAAUAAUAAAAACUAGGAACAAGAUACUUAGAGAAAGAGAGAGUUCGAGGUCAUAUAUAGUGUGUACUCUAGGGUUUCCGAAUGUCCCCUUCUGCUCUUUUCUUCUCUCUCUUUAUAGUCACUCUCACCCCCAUUGUUUGUUAGCGAGAUCUUUUCAUGUUAUUAACAACUCCGAGAUUUUUGAUCCUAUUUUUUUGGAGAAUAUUCUUCUAAAAUCGACAUCGCUCUCUUUUUCCUUGCACAGGCUAUCAACGUCGCGUUCUUCCUGCCACCUCAUGAUCAUUCGCCGAUUAUCAUGGGUGAACUCCAUGUUGGUGACAAUGGACCGGGUCUCGUCUAAGCGCUUUGUAUUGUCGGGAUUUGGGCCCAACAGCUACUAUACAAUACCUUCAACACAAGACCUUUUAUGACCUUUUCUCCACCAGCAAACAAACAUCAUACCUUUUUUGUAACAAACAUUAUACUUAUUGUUAAAAAAAAAUAAACAGAGAUUAUUGUGUGAUUAGGAUGAGAGAAACAACAAU
rnacentral:lncRNA from 1 species